rnacentral:lncRNA from 1 species
GUAAGCUGUUACAAUGCCUCCCUGGAGAAUUGAAGUGUUGUUGUCACAGACGAAGGCAUCGUGACAGUGUUUGGCUACUGCAUAAAGGUUAUUUGAACAGAAUCUCUAUGACAAUACAGUGGAUCUGCUAACCAAUAUGGUUGCUGUGACUGAUGAGUGAAUACCCCCUUGGAUAGAUUUAGGACCCAGAACAAUGCCAUAACUAUAUUCAUUGAUGAUGACACCAUAGGCUGAGCUCGGCUACGAAGAAAAAAUUUUCAAAAUAAAUGAUAAAACCAAUGCCUGGCAGCCGGGGUAUGGUGGUGGAUUCCUGUAAUCCCAGCACUCAGGAGGCUGAGGCAAGAGGAUCGCUGUGAGUUCAAGACCAGCCUGCCCUACGUAGUGAGUUCCAGGUCAGUCUCAACUACAUAGUGAGA